GACGAACGCUGGCGGUGUGCUUAACACAUGCAAGUCGAACGGUAAGGCCCUUUCGGGGGUCCACGAGUGGCGAACGGGUGAGUAACACGUGAGUAACCUGCCCUCAUCUCUGGGAUAACAGUCGGAAACGGUUGCUAAUACUGGAUAUGAGCUUGCAAGGCAUCUUGUGGGUUGGAAAGAUUUUUUUGGUUGGGGAUGGACUCGCGGCCUAUCAGCUUGUUGGUGAGGUAGUGGCUCACCAAGGCUUCGACGGGUAGCCGGCCUGAGAGGGCGACCGGCCACAUUGGGACUGAGAUACGGCCCAAACUCCUACGGGAGGCAGCAGUGGGGAAUAUUGCACAAUGGACGGAAGUCUGAUGCAGCAACGCCGCGUGCGGGAUGACGGCCUUCGGGUUGUAAACCGCUUUCAAUUGUGACGAAGCUUUUUUGUGACGGUAGCAGUAGAAGAAGCACCGGCUAACUACGUG
rnacentral:rRNA from 1 species